CGGACGGGUGAGUAACACGUAGAGAACCUACCUUACACAGGGGGACAACGGCUGGAAACGGCUGCUAAUACCGCAUAAGCACCCAGUUUCGCAUGAAACAGAGUGAAAAGAGUAAAUCGGUGUAAGAUGGCUCUGCGUCUGAUUAGCUAGUUGGUGGGGUAAAGGCUCACCAAGGCGACGAUCAGUAGCCGGCCUGAGAGGGCGACCGGCCACAUUGGGACUGAGACACGGCCCAGACCCCUACGGGAGGCAGCAG
rnacentral:rRNA from 1 species